GAUGAACGCUAGCGGGAGGCUUAAUACAUGCAAGUCGAGGGGGUAACAUGAGAGCUUGCUCUUGAUGACGACCGGCGCACGGGUGAGUAACGCGUACACAACCUACCUCUAAGUGGGGAAUAGCCUUUGGAAACGAAGAGUAAUACCCCAUAGCAUUAUUUCUUUUUAUGAUGAAAUAAUUAAAGCUCCGGCGCUUAGAGAUGGGUGUGCGUCCCAUUAGCUUGUUGGUAAGGUAACGGCUUACCAAGGCGACGAUGGGUAGGGGGCGUGAGAACGUGACCCCCCACACGGGUACUGAGACACGGACCCGACUCCUACGGGAGGCAGCAGUAAGGAAUAUUGGACAAUGGGCGAAAGCCUGAUCCAGCCAUCCCGCGUGCAGGAUGACGGCCCUAUGGGUUGUAAACUGCUUUUAGAUAGGAAGAAACCCCCAUUCGUGAGUGGGGCUGACGGUACUAUCAGAAUAAGCACCGGCUAACUCCGUG
rnacentral:rRNA from 1 species